AUACUCUGGUUUCUCUUCAGAUCGUAUAAAUCUUUCGCCUUUUACUAAAGAUUUCCGUGGAGAGGAACAAUUCUGAGUCUUAAACCAAUUUUUUGAGGCCUUGCUCCAACAAGGCU
rnacentral:snRNA from 13 species